AGAAACAGUAUAACCGAGACAGGCUAAAGCUGUCGGACUCUGACCUGCUGCUUUGCAGAACCAGCCAGACAAAUGCCGAUGGAAGGGAAAGACAAAGCGGGUGCCGGCACCGUGCUGCAGCCAGAGCCUUCCUCUGAUUUACCCAAGACAGAUGAGACAGGAAUAUCUCCAAGAGCUUUAUCAAUUCUCUCUGUCAGCGGCGGCUGCUAAGUCAACAGUGCGGUGGUGUGUGUCUGGACCAGCAGUACAGAGGUUGCUCAAAUCGUUCUCUGCUCCCGGUGAAACCAAUAAGCUAUACUCCACUGCAUCGACUUGGCUCCCGAACUGUGCCCCCGGUUAUGUCAAAUUAAAUCUCAGCCCAUCACCGGCAGACUGCCAACGUCAGCGCACAUCCCUCGGCACCCCCCGGGGCAGGGGCAUGCACGGGUGGGCACCCCGGGACCUGGGGCUGCAGCACCCACCCCCCGCCGGUGGGGCCGGGGGCCAUGGGGAGCCGCAGGUCACCGGGUGCCAACCGCCAGCACGCCUUGCCUCCCGGCCCAGCCACGUCCGCCAGCACCAGUGCAGGGAUCUGGGGAGCACCGGCGCUGUUGCUCGGGGAGCCGCGUGCAUGGGGGUGAACUGGCUCCUGCCAAGGUGAGGCAGUCUCUGCACACACCGCCCGCUGACCGCACGCCCCUGCUCUGCCCGGCCCCGCCGACCACGCGCUGUGAUGCAAAAACUGCCCUCGGCAUGGGCCGGUCUGCACAGGCGCUGCUGAAACACUGCGCCCACCACGUCCAUUAGCAUCCCAGCAUCUCCUCCUGCACCACGCUCUGCACGGCUCCUCCUUGGCUUUGCCUAAGUGCCCCAUCUCUGCACUGGUACGGAGACCUGUGAGCACGGGCUGGCCCGUCCUCCCCAGCUGGCCCUGCACACCUCUAGCAGCCUGCGAGCACAGCCUGCUUGUGUUGUGCCUUGUGUUUUGCUUAUCCAUCACACUACACCUCCUUUUCCCCCUUACACUCCUGGUUGCAUCCUCCUCAGCCCUGCGGUGCUGGGGUUGUUUCAGUGACACGGAGGCACCAGCGCCAGGCAGAGCAUGCUCCUGGUGCAGCUCACCUCGCCCUUGCUCCCCUACGCUUCUGAGCUUCACAGCACCACCGGGGCGCUCUUGAGAUUACUGAUUGAAUGGCUGAGAAGAGAGCCACAUUUCCAUAAGCUGUGGUAAUUAUUGCAACAAAAGCAAUAAAAACACAUUUCCAGAGCUCUA